AGAUCUAGCUUGCUAGAUGCUGACGAGUGGCGCACGGGUGCGUAACGCGUAUACAAUCUACCUUUAACUGAGGGAUAGCCCAGAGAAAUUUGGAUUAAUACCUCAUAGUAUUAUAAUUAGGCAUCUUUUUAUAAUUAAAACUUCGGUGGUUAAAGAUGAGUAUGCGUACUAUUAGCUAGUUGGUAAGGUAAAAGCUUACCAAGGCAACGAUAGUUAGGGGGCCUGAAAGGGUGAUCCCCCACACUGGUACUGAGACACGGACCAGACUCCUACGGGAGGCAGCAGUGAGGAAUAUUGCACAAUGGAGGAAACUCUGAUGCAGCCAUGCCGCGUGCAGGAAGAAUGCCCUAUGGGUUGUAAACUGCUUUUAUACAAGAAGAAACCUCGGUACGUGUACCGACUUGACGGUAUUGUAUGAAUAAGCACCGGCUAACUCCGUGCCAGCAGCCGCGGUAAUACGGAGGGUGCAAGCGUUAUCCGGAUUUAUUAGGUUUAAAGGGUCCGCAGGCGGAAUAUUAAGUCAGUGGUGAAAGCCUACAGCUCAACUGUAGAACUGC
rnacentral:rRNA from 1 species